CGCAAGCCGAAGGCAGACACUUAACCAACUGAGCCAUCCAGGCAUCCGGAGGAGACUGGGGGCAGUGGGGAGAACGAUGCCUUCUGCAUCAAAGGAAGCGGAUCUCAGAGGUGCCAGCCCUGCGAGGAGGAGAUGAGAGAUCAGCCGGGUUGUCUGGAUCCAGUUUUUACCAAAAUGAUGGGCCAGAGAAAGAAGGAACCUUAGACAGUCUGACCUAGUUACAUUUGCAUUUUCCCAGGAAAAAUGACUGUAAAAUUCCUCAGAAACACUUGGAGUCGUUUUCUGGCGCAGAGAGGAAGAAGGCGGGAGAAACAAUGACACUGCGUUCAGGGCUGAAAAGAGAAGAAAGCUCAACUGGGGAGUGCGGGGCGAUGCUAGAAGAAAGCCAGGGUCCCACCUGGCUCCUCUGGGAGAAAAGGAUGAAAAAGGGAACUGGCUUGGCAAGGAGACCUGUCCCCAGCCAUCUGCACUUGCAGGAGAAGCUGGCCACCAAAGGCACUGCGCGUUCCCAGGCAGGAACGACGGGUGGCACUCGACAGCGGAGAAGAAAAAAAUCAUCAGAUACUGACACGUUCUUUAAGAUCAUGAAGUU